ensembl:snRNA U4 U4 spliceosomal RNA
AGCUUUGCGCAGUGGCAGUAUCGUAGCCAAUGGGGUUUAUCCGAGGCGCGAUUAUUGCUAAUUGAAAACUAUUAUGGGGACGUGGUCACGCUUCCCUUGCUUCCGUUAUUACAUACCAAAGAAAGUCUGGAACAAACAGACAGCAAAGCUUUAGUGAGUGAAAAAUUUUUUUCGCGUUACCAAAAGC